GAGAAGAACGUAGCAAAAUGCGAUAAGUAAUGUGAAUUGCAGAAUUCAGUGAAUCAUCGAAUCUUUGAACGCACAUUGCGCCCAUUAGUAUUCUAGUGGGCAUGCCUGUUCGAGCGUCAUUAAGUCCACUUAAGCCCUGCUUAGUGUUGGGAGACUGCUCCAGCGGUGCUACCCUGUAGCUACCCUGCAGCUCCUCAAAGACAGCGGCGGAGUUGUGGUAUCCUCUGAGCUUAGUAACUUGUUCUAGCUUUCGAGUACACCACUUCCCCUGCCGUAAAACCCUUAAUUUUUAAUGGUUGACCUCGGAUCAGGUAGGAAUACCCGCUGAACUUAAGCAUAUCAAAAGCGGAGGA
rnacentral:misc_RNA from 1 species